CCUACGGGUGGCAGCAGUGGGGAAUAUUGGGCAAUGGGCGCAAGCCUGACCCAGCAACGCCGCGUGAAGGAAGAAGGCUUUCGGGUUGUAAACUUCUUUUCUCAGGGACGAAGCAUGUGACGGUACCUGAGGACUAAGCCACGGCUAACUACGUGCACGCAGCCGCGGUAAUACGUAGGUGGCAAGCGUUAUCCGGAUUUACUGGGUGUAAAGGGCGUGUAGGCGGGACGGCAAGUCAGAUGUGAAAUCCACGGGCUCAACCUGUGGCCUGCAUUUGAAACUGUAGUUCUUGAGUGCUGGAGAGGCAGACGGAAUUCCUAGUGUAGCGGUGAAAUGCGUAGAUAUUAGGAAGAACACCAGUGGCGAAGGCAGUCUGCUGGACAGCAACUGACGCUGAGGCGCGAAAGCGUGGGGAGCAAACAGGAUUAGAUACCCUUGUAGUC
rnacentral:rRNA from 1 species